rnacentral:rRNA from 1 species
GGCUCAGAUUGAACGCUGGCGGCAGGCCUAACACAUGCAAGUCGAGCGGUAGCACAGAGAGCUUGCUCUCGGGUGACGAGCGGCGGACGGGUGAGUAAUGUCUGGGAAACUGCCUGAUGGAGGGGGAUAACUACUGGAAACGGUAGCUAAUACCGCAUAACGUCGCAAGACCAAAGUGGGGGACCUUCGGGCCUCAUGCCAUCAGAUGUGCCCAGAUGGGAUUAGCUAGUAGGUGGGGUAACGGCUCACCUAGGCGACGAUCCCUAGCUGGUCUGAGAGGAUGACCAGCCACACUGGAACUGAGACACGGUCCAGACUCCUACGGGAGGCAGCAGUGGGGAAUAUUGCACAAUGGGCGCAAGCCUGAUGCAGCCAUGCCGCGUGUGUGAAGAAGGCCUUCGGGUUGUAAAGCACUUUCAGCGGGGAGGAAGGCGAUAAGGUUAAUAACCUUGUCGAUUGACGUUACCCGCAGAAGAAGCACCGGCUAACUCCGUGCCAGCAGCCGCGGUAAUACGGAGGGUGCAAGCGUUAAUCGGAAUUACUGGGCGUAAAGCGCACGCAGGCGGUCUGUCAAGUCGGAUGUGAAAUCCCCGGGCUCAACCUGGGAACUGCAUUCGAAACUGGCAGGCUAGAGUCUUGUAGAGGGGGGUAGAAUUCCAGGUGUAGCGGUGAAAUGCGUAGAGAUCUGGAGGAAUACCGGUGGCGAAGGCGGCCCCCUGGACAAAGACUGACGCUCAGGUGCGAAAGCGUGGGGAGCAAACAGGAUUAGAUACCCUGGUAGUCCACGCCGUAAACGAUGUCGAUUUGGAGGUUGUGCCCUUGAGGCGUGGCUUCCGGAGCUAACGCGUUAAAUCGACCGCCUGGGGAGUACGGCCGCAAGGUUAAAACUCAAAUGAAUUGACGGGGGCCCGCACAAGCGGUGGAGCAUGUGGUUUAAUUCGAUGCAACGCGAAGAACCUUACCUGGUCUUGACAUCCACAGAACUUUCCAGAGAUGGAUUGGUGCCUUCGGGAACUGUGAGACAGGUGCUGCAUGGCUGUCGUCAGCUCGUGUUGUGAAAUGUUGGGUUAAGUCCCGCAACGAGCGCAACCCUUAUCCUUUGUUGCCAGCGGUCCGGCCGGGAACUCAAAGGAGACUGCCAGUGAUAAACUGGAGGAAGGUGGGGAUGACGUCAAGUCAUCAUGGCCCUUACGACCAGGGCUACACACGUGCUACAAUGGCAUAUACAAAGAGAAGCGACCUCGCGAGAGCAAGCGGACCUCAUAAAGUAUGUCGUAGUCCGGAUUGGAGUCUGCAACUCGACUCCAUGAAGUCGGAAUCGCUAGUAAUCGUAGAUCAGAAUGCUACGGUGAAUACGUUCCCGGGCCUUGUACACACCGCCCGUCACACCAUGGGAGUGGGUUGCAAAAGAAGUAGGUAGCUUAACCUUCGGGAGGGCGCUUACCACUUUGUGAUUCAUGACUGGGGUGAAGUCGUA